rnacentral:rRNA from 1 species
AGUGAACGCUGGCGGUAGGCCUAACACAUGCCAGUCGAACGGCAGCACAGUAAGAGCUUGCUCUUACGGGUGGCGAGUGGCGGACGGGUGAGGAAUACAUCGGAAUCUACUUUUUCGUGGGGGAUAACGUAGGGAAACUUACGCUAAUACCGCAUACGACCUACGGGUGAAAGCAGGGGAUCUUCGGACCUUGCGCGAUUGAAUGAGCCGAUGUCGGAUUAGCUGGUUGGCGGGGUAAAGGCCCACCAAGGCGACGAUCCGUAGCUGGUCUGAGAGGAUGAUCAGCCACACUGGAACUGAGACACGGUCCAGACUCCUACGGGAGGCAGCAGUGGGGAAUAUUGGACAAUGGGCGCAAGCCUGAUCCAGCCAUACCGCGUGGGUGAAGAAGGCCUUCGGGUUGUAAAGCCCUUUUGUUGGGAAAGAAAAGCAGCAGGUUAAUACCCCGCUGUUCUGACGGUACCCAAAGAAUAAGCACCGGCUAACUUCGUG